UCCAUUUCCAUAGACAAGGCAAAAAUAUUACAAACUUCAAACAAUUAUAACCAAUUAAAAAUUUUAGAACAUUUAGAGAUCCACAAAGCCAUCAAACAACCCAACCACAACCUCCUCAACGAAAUCACUUUCUUUCCAGAACAACACCUAUACAAACGCCUACACCCCUUCAAUAACAAAGACACGCAACCACACAUACACGCCCACUCCCCUACAGACCCCACAUAAACAGCACGCCAAUGCAUAAAUCUCUUCUACAACUUGACAUAAAAUAUUUCAGUUCACAUAACCUACAAUUCGACACUUCAACCAUACAUGCUUACAUCCACCUUUUAGACAUCAACACAGUGUUUUCGUUCACCUUUAUGAUUUCUGCUGAUUGAGAUCAUCCAAGCUACAUAUUUCUAACAUCUCCCACACAAUGUUUCAUUCACCUGCUUCUUAUAUUGUAUCUUGUACUAAUGACGCUACGGCCUGAAGAUGGUAUUGCUUAACGUACCGAAAUCGAUAGCCUAUACAGAAAAAUAAAAACCUAUUAGCUCGACUGCACUUCCUGUGUGUUUUUUAACCUCAUAUGAAUAAAGCUAAUAAAAAUGGAGAAUUUCAUCGAUAAAA